UUUCAGUCUCUUCGCCCAUUCCGGUUUCGAGUCCGACAGGGCUAGUACUGUCGUGGGUGUUUCGAUCGGUCGAACGUAUUCGACCGCGUAGAAUGUGCCGCACGUGCCAAUCAGCUGCGGAAAAAUGUCCCUGUCCUCGAAGAGGAUGCUCAUCAGGUACUCGUUCUCCUGCAGCAACGGCCAAAGAUUCUCCAUCUCCAGCUGCCGCCUGGUCAGCUCGCUCUCCACACGGUGCGUGCGGAGCCGCGUCAGCCUCUCCAAUUGAUGUCCCGACGGCAUCACGUUCAGUUUGCUAACGACUAGAUCUUUGAUCAUGUGGCCGAAGUCCUCCUCGGACGGGUAGCGUUUGGUGCCGGUCGAGUCCGUCCAGUAGAGCGACUCGUACUGCUCAACCGUGGUCUUCGUUCUGAAAGAAAUCGGAUCACUUCAUUCGAGUCUACUUCAUCGAGUUUUUCUAUUGUUUCGUUGAUUCGCGCGUAUUUUUCGAAUUGUUAUCACUAAACUGCGUAUUUUAUACAUUUAUAGCAAAAGUGGCAAACUGAAACACAGAACAGUGAAGACAAUCAGAAGAAUCUAAGAAACUAUUAAAAGAAGAAAUAUACAUUUCUAUUUGAUUUUUGUCUUUUUCAGUUACGAUCCCAGCAUUCAAGUCAGAAGACGUUUGCUAAGAAAAUGUUGGUUACGACUUCAUUAACGAGUUAUCAACGAAAAAUACGGGCCAAUCAGGGAAUCAAUAUGACAAGCAUCCGUACUCGUUUUUUAUCGAACAGUUGGAGUUCUGGGACACCAUGCAUAUCGAUUUCGGUUUCAGUGCUAUAACUGUUCUUUUUCACUUCUGACUUUCAGUUAUGCAGUUCGGUUAUAUGUACUUCGAUUUUACGUAUUACAUAAAUACAUUGUGUAUUUCCUUUACAUAUUAAUUCGACGAGGAAUCGUGCGAUCCACAUAAGACCAACGUGGCAUUGAAUGCGCUACAAUUGAAUAUCCACUGUAUUAUACCUGCAAGGAUUGUACUCGAUUGUGCUCCGAUCUUAUUGGGAGAAUCAAAUUGUAAAACUCGAUCAGAAAAAGGUUGAAAGCGAUCAUGUCAUGCGGUUUCCUCAAUGAAACUCGAACUAGCUUCAUAACGUAAAUAUUUAAGAUGGUUGGUUGUUUCGAUGCAGCUCGAAAGAGAUACAUAUUUGUAUCAAUCAAGCCCCCACAAGCAGACAUAAAAGUCAGAAUUGAAAGACACUUGCUUUGCGCAGAGCGUUACGAGCGGUAUUACGUUUAACCUCUGAAAUAACUUUGUUUUCUUACGGUCAUCGCGCAUGCCAGAAAUUGUUUCUUUUGUAUAUUUCAUUGAAAAACCUGUUCUACACUGAAAUAAGAUUAUGGCGAGGAUAUCCUGUAGAGUUGAUAAUGUAUGUAAAGAGAGAGAGAGAGAGAGAGAGAGAGAGAGAGAGAGAGAGAGAGAGAGAGAGAGAGAGAUGCCAAUUUCAUUGGCAAAGUACACAAUGCCGCAGUGGUGACCCUAAGUUUCGAUUGUUGAGAAAAUUCUGUUAUUAGGGUCGCCACAUACGUCUCUAUUUGCACUCUUUGCGUCUGUACCUUACUUUUACCUUAUUCAUAAUAUUUCAUAAUUAUAUUAUUUCUUUCAUAUAA